GAUGAACGCUGGCGGCGUGCCUAAUACAUGCAAGUCGAGCGAACAGACGAGGAGCUUGCUCCUCUGACGUUAGCGGCGGACGGGUGAGUAACACGUUGAUAACCUACCUAUAAGACUGGGAUAACUUCGGGAAACCGGAGCUAAUACCGGAUAAUAUAUUUAACCGCAUGGUUCAAUAGUGAAAGACGGUUUUGCUGUCACUUAUAGAUGGAUCCGCGCCGCAUUAGCUAGUUGGUAAGGUAACGGCUUACCAAGGCAACGAUGCGUAGCCGACCUGAGAGGGUGAUAGGCCACACUGGAACUGAGACACGGUCCAACUCCUACGGGAGGCAGCAGUAGGGAAUCUUCCGCAAUGGGCGAAAGCUUGACGGAGCAACGCCGCGUGAGUGAUGAAGGUCUUCGGAUCGUAAAACUCUGUUAUUAGGGAAGAACAAAUGUGUAAGUAACUAUGCACGUCUUGACGGUACCUAAUCAGAAAGCCACGGCUAACUACGUG
rnacentral:rRNA from 1 species